GUGGGGGAUAUUGCACAAUGGGGGAAACCCUGAUGCAGCGACGCCGCGUGGAGGAAGAAGGUUUUCGGAUUGUAAACUCCUGUCGUUAGGGACGAUAAUGACGGUACCUAACAAGAAAGCACCGGCUAACUACGUGCCAGCAGCCGCGGUAAUACGGAGGAUCCGAGCGUUAUCCGGAUUUAUUGGGUUUAAAGGGUGCGCAGGCGGCCUUGCAAGUCAGCGGUCAAAUCGUGGAGCUCAACUCCAUUCCGCCGUUGAUACUGCCGGGCUUGAUUGCGGUUGAGGUUGGCGGAAUUCGUCGUGUAGCGGUGAAAUGCAUAGAUAUGACGAAGAACCCCGAUUGCGUAGGCAGCUGACCAAGCCGUAAAUGACGCUCAUGCACGAAAGUGCGGGGAUCGAACAGGAUUAGAUACCCCUGUAGUCC
rnacentral:rRNA from 1 species